AACGAACGCUGGCGGCAGGCUUAACACAUGCAAGUCGAACGCAUCGCAAGAUGAGUGGCAGACGGGUGAGUAACGCGUGGGAAUCUACCCAGUUCUACGGAACAACAGUUGGAAACGACUGCUAAUACCGUAUACGCCCUACGGGGGAAAGAUUUAUCGGAAUUGGAUGAGCCCGCGUAAGAUUAGCUAGUUGGUGGGGUAAUGGCCUACCAAGGCGACGAUCUUUAGCUGGUCUGAGAGGAUGAUCAGCCACACUGGGACUGAGACACGGCCCAGACUCCUACGGGAGGCAGCAGUGGGGAAUAUUGGACAAUGGGCGCAAGCCUGAUCCAGCCAUGCCGCGUGAGUGAUGAAGGCCUUAGGGUUGUAAAGCUCUUUCACCGAUGAAGAUAAUGACGGUAGUCGGAGAAGAAGCCCCGGCUAACUUCGUGCCAGCAGCCGCAGUAAUAC
rnacentral:rRNA from 1 species